ACACAUGCAAGUCGAACGGAGAUUACUUCGGUAAUCUUAGUGGCGAACGGGUGAGUAACGCGUGGGCAACCUGCCCUCUAGAUGGGGACAACAUCCCGAAAGGGGUGCUAAUACCGAAUGUGACAGCAAUCUCGCAUGAGGAUGCUGUGAAAGAUGGCCUCUAUUUAUAAGCUAUCGCUAGAGGAUGGGCCUGCGUCUGAUUAGCUAGUUGGUGGGGUAACGGCCUACCAAGGCGAUGAUCAGUAGCCGGUCUGAGAGGAUGAACGGCCACAUUGGGACUGAGACACGGCCCAGACUCCUACGGGAGGCAGCAGUGGGGAAUCUUCCGCAAUGGGCGAAAGCCUGACGGAGCAAUGCCGCGUGAGUGAUGAAGGAAUUCGUUCCGUAAAGCUCUUUUGUUUAUGACGAAUGUGCAGGUUGUGAAUAAUGACUUGUAAUGACGGUAGUAAACGAAUAAGCCACGGCUAACUACGUGCCAGCAGCCGCGGUAAUACGUAGGUGGCGAGCGUUGUCCGGAAUUAUUGGGCGUAAAGAGCAUGUAGGCGGUUUUUUAAGUCUGGAGUGAAAAUGCGGGGCUCAACCCCGUAUGGCUCUGGAUACUGGAAGACUUGAGUGCAGGAGAGGAAAGGGGAAUUCCCAGUGUAGCGGUGAAAUGCGUAGAUAUUGGGAGGAACACCAGUGGCGAAGGCGCCUUUCUGGACUGUGUCUGACGCUGAGAUGCGAAAGCCAGGGUAGCGAACGGGAUUAGAUACCCCGGCAGUCCUGGCCGUAAACGAUGGGUACUAGGCGUAGGAGGUAUCGACCCCUUCUGUGCCGGAGUUAACGCAAUAAGUACCCC
rnacentral:rRNA from 1 species